AGUGAAUAGAUACCCAGGUAGUCCACGCCGUAAACGUUGUGCGCUAGGUGUAGGAGGUAUCGACCCCUCCUGUGCCGGAGCUAAACGCAUUAAGCGCACCGCCUGGGGAGUACGCCGCAAGGUGAAACUCAAAGGAAUUGACGGGGGCCCGCACAAGCGGUGGAGCAUGUGGUUUAAUUCGAGGCAACGCGAAGAACCUUACCCAGGCUUGACAUCCCGCGCUACCCUGUGAAAGCAGGGGUUUCUCCUUCGGGGGUACGCGGAGACAGGUGUUGCAUGGCUGUCGUCAGCUCGUGUCGUGAGAUGUUGGG
rnacentral:rRNA from 1 species